rnacentral:rRNA from 1 species
UACGUAGGGGGCAAGCGUUGUCCGGAUUUAUUGGGCGUAAAGAGCGUGUAGGCGGCCUGAAAGGUCAGCUGUGAAAACUCGAGGCUCAACCUCGAGACGUCGGUUGAAACCAUCUGGCUAGAGUCCGGAAGAGGAGUGUGGAAUUCCCGGUGUAGCGGUGAAAUGCGCAGAUAUCGGGAGGAACACCGGUGGCGAAGGCGGGUCUCUGGGCAGUAACUGACGCUGAGAAGCGAAAGCGUGGGGAGCGAACAGG